rnacentral:rRNA from 1 species
GACGGAGGGUGCUAGCGUUGUUCGGAAUGACUGGGCGUAAAGGGCGCGUAGGCUGCUGGUUAAGUCGGGUGUGAAAGCCCGGGGCUCAACCCCGGAAUGGCACUCGAGACUGGCUGGCUUGAGACCGGAAGAGGAGGGUGGAAUACCCAGUGUAGAGGUGAAAUUCGUAGAUAUUGGGUGGAACACCGGUGGCGAAAGCGGCUCUCUGGUCCGGUUCUGACGCUGAGGCGCGAAAGCGUGGGGAGCAAACAGG